rnacentral:rRNA from 1 species
CGUGAGAUGUUGGGUUAAGUCCCGUAACGAGCGCAACCCUUGUCCUUAGUUACCAGCACGUAAUGGUGGGCACUCUAAGGAGACUGCCGGUGACAAACCGGAGGAAGUGGGGAUGACGUCAAGUCAUCAUGGCCCUUACGGCCAGGGCUACACACGUGCUACAAUGGUCGGUACAAAGGGUUGCCAAGCCGCGAGGUGGAGCUAAUCCCAUAAAACCGAUCGUAGUCCGGAUCGCAGUCUGCAACUCGACUGCGUGAAGUCGGAAUCGCUAGUAAUCGUGAAUCAGAAUGUCACGGUGAAUACGUUCCCGGGCCUU